CCUACGGGUGGCAGCAGUAGGGAAUAUUGCUCAAUGGGGGAAACCCUGAAGCAGCAACGCCGCGUGGAGGAUGAAGGUUUUCGGAUUGUAAACUCCUUUUGUUAGAGAAGAUAAUGACGGUAUCUAACGAAUAAGCACCGGCUAACUCCGUGCCAGCAGCCGCGGUAAUACGGAGGGUGCAAGCGUUACUCGGAAUCACUGGGCGUAAAGAGCGCGGAGGCGGGAUAGCAAGUCAGAUGUGAAAUCCUAGGGCUUAACCAUAGAACUGCAUUUGACACUGUUAUUCUAGAGUAUGGGAGAGGUAGGUGGAAUUCUUGGGGUAGGGGUAAAAUCCGUAGAGAUCAAGAGGAAUACUCAGUGCGAAGGCGACCUGCUAGAACAUAACUGACGCUGAUGCGCGAAAGCGUGGGGAGCAAACAGGAUUAGAGACCCGUGUAGUC
rnacentral:rRNA from 1 species